CUGACCUCAAAUCAGGUAGGACUACCCGCUGAACUUAAGCAUAUCAAUAAGCGGAGGAAAAGAAACUAACAAGGAUUCCCCUAGUAACUGCGAGUGAAGCGGGAAAAGCUCAAAUUUAAAAUCUGGCGGUCUUCGAUCGUCCGAGUUGUAGUCUGGAGAAGCGUCUUCCGCGCUGGACCGUGUACAAGUCUCUUGGAAYAGAGCGUCGUAGAGGGUGAGAAUCCCGUCUUUGACACGGACUACCAGUGCUUUGUGAUGCGCUCUCAAAGAGUCGAGUUGUUUGGGAAUGCAGCUCAAAAUGGGUGGUAAAUUCCAUCUAAAGCUAAAUAUUGGCGAGAGACCGAUAGCGAACAAGUACCGUGAGGGAAAGAUGAAAAGCACUUUGGAAAGAGAGUUAAACAGUACGUGAAAUUGCUGAAAGGGAAACGAUUGAAGUCAGUCGCGUCGUCUAGAACUCAACCUUGCCUCGGCUCGGUGCAUUUUCUAGUUGACGGGCCAGCAUCAGUUUUGACCGUUGGAAAAAGGUCCUUGGAAUGUGGCACCUUCGGGUGUGUUAUAGCCUCGGGUCGUAUACGACGGUUGGGACUGAGGACCGCAGCACGCCUUUAUGGCCGGGGUUCGCCCACGUACGUGCUUAGGAUGCUGGCGUAAUGGCUUUAAACGACCCGUC
rnacentral:rRNA from 1 species